CGCGGCGGGGACCAUGUUGCUUCCGAACAUCCUGCUCACCGGUACACCAGGGGUUGGAAAAACCACACUAGGCAAAGAACUUGCGUCAAAAUCAGGACUGAAAUACAUUAAUGUGGGUGAUUUAGCUCGAGAAGGGGUUAUAAUGAGAAGAAACUAACAGACAAUAUUCAGUGUGAGAUUUUUCAAGUUCUUUAUGAAGAAGCCACAGCAUCCUACAAGGAAGAAAUCGUGCAUCAGCUGCCCAGUAAUAAACCAGAAGAGCUAGAAAAUAAUGUAGAUCAGAUCUUGAAAUGGAUUGAGCAGUGGAUCAAAGAUCAUAACUCUUGACUUAUAAGGCUAGCUACUUAAUAAUCACUCUUGUUGAUAUCUCUGCCGACAUCAUAGAAAUUGUUCAAGUGUCAGUAACACUUUAUUAAAAUCAUGUUGCAGAACCAGCAGGUGGAUAGUAUAUAGGUUUAUGCCUGUGUUUCUUUUUCUCCAUGAGAAAGCUAAACAUGAAAUAUAAUGAAUAUAGUAUUAUUAAGGAUUGAGACAAAAACUGUGAUUUUAAUACUUAAAUUGCUAAAGAAUAAAUAAAUCUGACAAAAUGGGUGGAUAUCUUUUAAGUUUAUUACAGAAAAAAAUGCAGAUGAUCUCUUAAAAUAAAACUAAAGAUAAAGCAACAGAGUAUUCCUUUUUUCUUUCUUUAAAUUAGAAAAAAAGUUAAGUGUUGUACUCGAUACAAAGUUCAAAAGGUACAAAAG
rnacentral:lncRNA from 10 species